UACGUAGGGUGCAAGCGUUGUCCGGAAUUAUUGGGCGUAAAGAGCUCGUAGGCGGUGUGUCGCGUCGGUCGUGAAAACUUGGGGCUUAACCCUGAGCUUGCGGUCGAUACGGGCAUCACUGGAGUUCGGCAGGGGAGACUGGAAUUCCUGGUGUAGCGGUGAAAUGCGCAGAUAUCAGGAGGAACACCGGUGGCGAAGGCGGCAUCCUGGACCAACACUGACGCUGAGUGAGCGAAAGCCAGGGGAGCAAACGGG
rnacentral:rRNA from 1 species